rnacentral:lncRNA from 1 species
CGUGGAGAGUUUACAUGAGAAACUCUUUCUUGUGUAAAGAAAAUGAUGCACAAAAGGCUAACAAAUCAUGCAAAAUGGGAUUAGUUAUCCAUUUAAAUUCAAACACCCUUUGAAUUUGAAUGGCUAACAAAUCAUGUUUGUUGGGUAUAGAAUACCCCCUGGUCGAAGUUUGUAAAAGAGCGACCCUUCCAGGACUUUUCCGACUUCCGACCUUGUGUGGCAUCUCUCUGAACCCCCUCGACCGUCCGGACAUCUCCGACAAUGAGCU